rnacentral:rRNA from 1 species
GGGUUUAAAGGGUGUGUAGGCGGAUAUUUAAGUCAGAUGUUAAAGCCCCGGGCUCAACCUGGGAACUGCGUUUGAAACUACAAGGCUAGAGUAUGGGAGAGGGAGGUAGAAUUCCACGUGUAGCAGUGAAAUGCGUAGAGAUGUGGAGGAAUACCAAUGGCGAAGGCAGCCUCCUGGCCUAAUACUGACGCUCAUGCACGAAAGCGUGGGGAGCAA